AGAGUUUGAUCAUGGCUCAGGACGAACGCUGGCGGCGUGCCUAACACAUGCAAGUCGAGCGGGGUCCAUCCAGUGGCAACACUGGUGAAGACCUAGCGGCGAACGGGUGAGUAACACGUGAGAAACCUGCCCUGAAGUCUGGGAUAACCCGAGGAAACUCGAGCUAAUACCGGAUGCCCCCACCGAGUCGCAUGGCUUGGUGAGGAAAGAUUUAUCGCUUCAGGAGGGUCUCGCGGCCUAUCAGCUAGUUGGCGGGGUAACGGCCCACCAAGGCAUCGACGGGUAGCUGGUCUGAGAGGACGAUCAGCCACACUGGGACUGAGACACGGCCCAGACUCCUACGGGAGGCAGCAGUGGGGAAUAUUGCGCAAUGGGCGAAAGCCUGACGCAGCAACGCCGCGUGCGGGAUGAAGGCCUUCGGGUUGUAAACCGCUUUCAGUGGGGACGAAAACAGACGGUACCCACAGAAGAAGCCCCGGCCAACUACGUGCCAGCAGCCGCGGUA
rnacentral:rRNA from 1 species